CCUACGGGUGGCAGCAGUGAGGAAUAUUGGUCAAUGGACGAGAGUCUGAACCAGCCAAGUAGCGUGAAGGCUGACUGCCCUCUGGGUUGUAAACUUCUUUUAUAUGGGAAUAAAACGUUCCACGUGUGGGAUUUUGUAUGUACCAUAUGAAUAAGGAUCUGCUAACUCCGUGCCAGCAGCCGCGGUAAUACGGAGGAUCCGAGCGUUAUCCGGAUUUAUUGGGUUUAAAGGGAGCGUAGGUGGAUUGUUAAGUCAGUUGUGAAAGUUUGCGGCUCAACCGUAAAAUUGCAGUUGAAACUGGCAGGCGUGAGUACAGUAGAGGUGGGCGGAAUUAGUGGGGUAGAGGUGAAAUGCUUAGAUAUCACGAAGAACUCCGAUUGCGAAGGCAGUUCACUGGACUGCAACUGACACUGAGGCUCAAAAGUGUGGGUAUCAAACAGGAGUAGAUACCCUAGUAGUC
rnacentral:rRNA from 1 species